rnacentral:rRNA from 1 species
AUUGAACGCUGGCGGCAGGCUUAACACAUGCAAGUCGAGCGAGUGGCGGACGGGUGAGUAAUGCAUGGGGAUCUGCCUGAUAGAGGGGGAUAACUACGGGAAACUGUAGCUAAUACCGCAUACCAUAGGAUGAACCCAUAUGGGAUUAGAUAGUUGGUGGGGUAAAGGCUCACCUAGGCGACGAUCUCUAGCUGGUCUGAGAGGAUGACCAGCCACACUGGGACUGAGACACGGCCCAGACUCCUACGGGAGGCAGCAGUGGGGAAUAUUGCGCAAUGGGGGCAAGCCUGACGCAGCCAUGCCGCGUGUAUGAAGAAGGCCUUCGGGUUGUAAAGUUCUUUCGGUAGGGAGGCGUUAACUGCAGAAGAAGCACCGGCUAACUCCGUGCCAGCAGCCGCGGUAAUUC